UUCGUAGGCGGUGCGGUCAAGUCGGGAGUGAAAUCUUUGGGCUUAACCCAGAGGCUGCUUCCGAAACUGCUGUGCUCGAGUGUGGGAGAGGCGCGUGGAAUUGCAGGUGUAGCGGUGAAAUGCGUAGAUAUCUGCAGGAACACCCGUGGCGAAAGCGGCGCGCUGGACCACUACUGACGCUGAGGAACGAAAGCUAGGGGAGCAAACAGGAUUAGAUACCCUGGUAGUCCUAGCCCUAAACGAUCAGGACUUGGGGUGCCACCCGUUCGGGUGUCGUCCCGGAGCUAACGCGUUAAGUCCUGCACCUGGGGAGUACGGUCGCAAGACUGAA
rnacentral:rRNA from 1 species